rnacentral:rRNA from 1 species
UACGGAGGAUGCGAGCGUUAUCCGGAUUUAUUGGGUUUAAAGGGUGCGUAGGCGGGCUGUUAAGUCAGCGGUCAAAUGUCGGGGCUCAACCCCGGCCUGCCGUUGAAACUGGCGGCCUCGAGUGGGCGAGAAGUAUGCGGAAUGCGUGGUGUAGCGGUGAAAUGCAUAGAUAUCACACAGAACACCGAUUGCGAAGGCAUCUCACGAAUCCGCUAUUGACGCUGAUGCACGAAAGCGUGGGUAUCAAACAGG